rnacentral:rRNA from 1 species
GGCGGCAUGCCUUACACAUGCAAGUCGAACGGCAGCACGGGGGCAACCCUGGUGGCGAGUGGCGAACGGGUGAGUAAUACAUCGGAACGUGUCCUGUAGUGGGGGAUAGCCCGGCGAAAGCCGGAUUAAUACCGCAUACGAUCUGUGGAUGAAAGCGGGGGAUCUUCGGACCUCGCGCUGCAGGGGCGGCCGAUGGCAGAUUAGCUAGUUGGUGGGGUAAAGGCCUACCAAGGCGACGAUCUGUAGCUGGUCUGAGAGGACGACCAGCCACACUGGGACUGAGACACGGCCCAGACUCCUACGGGAGGCAGCAGUGGGGAAUUUUGGACAAUGGGCGAAAGCCUGAUCCAGCAAUGCCGCGUGUGUGAAGAAGGCCUUCGGGUUGUAAAGCACUUUUGUCCGGAAAGAAAACCUCGUGGUUAAUACCCGUGGGGGAUGACGGUACCGGAAGAAUAAGCACCGGCUAACUACGUGCCAGCAGCCGCGGUAAUACGUAGGGUGCAAGCGUUAAUCGGAAUUACUGGGCGUUAAAGCGUGCGCAGGCGGUUCGCUAAG